rnacentral:rRNA from 1 species
AUUGAACGCUGGCGGCAGGCCUAACACAUGCAAGUCGAACGAGUGGCGGACGGGUGCAUACUGCGUGGGAAUCUAACAUAUGGAGGGGGAUAACUACGGGAAACUGUGGCUAAUACCGCAUACCAUCGGAUGAGCCCAUAUGUGAUUAGGUAGUUGGUGGGGUAAAGGCUCACCAAGGCGACGAUCUCUAGCUGGUCUGAGAGGAUGAACAGCCACACUGUGACUGAGACACGGCCCAGACUCCUACGGGAGUCAGCAGUUGGGAAUAUUGCACAAUGGGGGCAAGCCUGAUGCAGCCAUGCCGCGUGAAUGAAGAAGGCCUUCGGGUUGUAAAGUUCUUUCGGUCGCGAGGCGUUAACUACAGAAGAAGCACCGGCUAACUCCGUGCCAGCAGCCGCGGUAAUUC